rnacentral:rRNA from 1 species
GAUGAACGCUGGCGGUGUGCCUAACACAUGCAAGUCGAGCGACAACACGAGAAGCUCGUUCUCUUGCCGGUAGCGGCGGACGGGCGAGUAACAAGUACAUCACAAUCUACUAUUUCUGGGAUGAUUACGGGAAAAAGCUGACGCUAAUGGCUCAUAUAUUCUACGGCUUGGAUCAAUAGAGCUUGACAGCUUUCCUGUUUGUAUUAGCCGAUUGCGGAUUGGCUAGUUGGGUUGGUAAGGUCCCACCAAGGCGACGAUCCGUAGCUGGUCUGAGAGGAUGAUCAGCCACACUGGAACUGAGACACGGUCCAGACUCCUACGGGAGGCAGCAGUGGGGAAUAUUGGACAAUGGGCGCAAGCCUGAUCCAGCAAUACCGCGUGGGUGAAGAAGGCCUUCGGGUUGUAAAGCCCUUUUGUUGGGAAAGAAAAGAAGUAGGUUAAUACACCGAUGUUCUGACGGUACCCAAAGAAUAAGCACCGGCUAACUUCGUG